ACUGGUAACUCUUAGCCUGUGCAG
rnacentral:piRNA from 1 species